rnacentral:rRNA from 1 species
AUACGGAGGGUGCAAGCGUUGUUCGGAAUUAUUGGGCGUAAAGCGCGUGUAGGUGGCUUGGUAAGUUGGAUGUGAAAGCCCGGGGCCCAACCUCGGAACUGCAUUCAAAACUCUCAAGCUAGAGUCCCGGAGAGGAUGGCGGAAUUCCCGGUGUAGAGGUGAAAUUCGUAGAUAUCGGGAGGAACACCAGUGGCGAAGGCGGCCAUCUGGACGGUGACUGACACUGAGACGCGAAAGCGUGGGGAGCAAACAGGAUUAGAUACCCCGGUAGUCC